UUUGAGUUAUGUGAGACAUUGCUUUCCAAUUCUUUCUGGCAGAACAGGGAUUCGUUUGUGCACCUCAAUUUCGUCGCAAAGCGGAAAGAUGAGAAGACACUCUUUUUCGCCGAGAUAGAGGAGUGCGGACAGGUCGGCAAACAGAUCCUGCAAGUACGCUGUUGCGUUCCCCUGGAUUCAUUAUGUGAAGGUGGUUAUCAUUAUUAUUGUGUUGAUCCUCCUAGACAUGGAUAUAGAAAAAGUCUGGACUUCACGAGGUGCUAUGCCUGCACCGAGUUCUUGAAACAUCCGGUCGAUGGCUCGACGUACACAGGAGGCCAUGAUCAUCGGAAGAGGAUGUAUCUAUAGUUUAGAACGUGUUUCAUUUAUAGUAAAAAAAUGUGUUCCAUUUAUCAGCAGUGGAGCCUCCUCAUGGAGGGCACGAGAGUAUGAUCCUCAGAGAAGAGGAACAAAUAGCGUCCAGCUUUGAAGUUUAAACUAAAGCCAACCAAUAAUAGGAAACAAAAGUCAUGCAAAGUUCAAAAUUACAAGCAAAAUGAAAAGAAAAAGAAGUAGCUGAAAUGAAAUAAGACUGCGGUGCAGCCAAAGUACUCUUCUUAGCUCGAGCUCACGUGACCUCAGGUGAAGAGUAAAAUCCAAAAAAUAAAAAAUAAAUAAAGAAUUCUAAAAAAA